rnacentral:rRNA from 1 species
GAUGAACGCUGGCGGCGUGCCUAAUACAUGCAAGUCGAGCGAACGGACGAGAAGCUUGCUUCUCUGAUGUUAGCGGCGGACGGGUGAGUAACACGUGGAUAACCUACCUAUAAGACUGGGAUAACUUCGGGAAACCGGAGCUAAUACCGGAUAAUCUUUUGAACCGCAUGGUUCAAAAGUGAAAGACGGUCUUGCUGUCACUUAUAGAUGGAUCCGCGCUGCAUUAGCUAGUUGGUAAGGUAACGGCUUACCAAGGCAACGAUGCAUAGCCGACCUGAGAGGGUGAUCGGCCACACUGGAACUGAGACACGGUCCAGGCUCCUACGGGAGGCAGCAGUAGGGAAUCGUCCGCAAUGGGCGAAAGCCUGACGGAGCAGCGCCGCGUGAGUGAUGAAGGUCUUCGGAUCGUAAAACUCUGUUACUAGGGAAGAACAGAUGUGUAAGUAGCUGUGCACAUCGUGACGGUACCUAAUCAGAAAGCCACGGCUAACUACGUG